rnacentral:rRNA from 1 species
UGAACGCUGGCGGCGUGCCUAAUACAUGCAAAUCGAGCGAACAGAUGAGGAGCUUGCUCCUCUGACGUUAGCGGCGGACGGGUGAGUAACACGUGGAUAACCUACCUAUAAGACUGGGAUAACUUCGGGAAACCGGAGCUAAUACCGGAUAAUAUAUUGAACCGCAUGGUUCAAUAGUGAAAGACGGUUUUGCUGUCACUUAUAGAUGGAUCCGCGCCGCAUUAGCUAGUUGGUAAGGUAACGGCUUACCAAGGCAACGAUGCGUAGCCGACCUGAGAGGGUGAUCGGCCACACUGGAACUGAGACACGGUCCAGACUCCUACGGGAGGCAGCAGUAGGGAAUCUUCCGCAAUGGGCGAAAGCCUGACGGAGCAACGCCGCGUGAGUGAUGAAGGUCUUCGGAUCGUAAAACUCUGUUAUUAGGGAAGAACAAAUGUGUAAGUAACUAUGCACGUCUUGACGGUACCUAAUCAGAAAGCCACGGCUAACUACGUG